rnacentral:rRNA from 1 species
UACGGGGGAUGCAAGCGUUAUCCGGAUUUAUUGGGUUUAAAGGGAGCGUAGGUGGAUUGUUAAGUCAGUUGUGAAAGUUUGCGGCUCAACCGUAAAAUUGCAGUUGAAACUGGCAGUCUUGAGUACAGUAGAGGUGAGCGGAAUUCGUGGUGUAGCGGUGAAAUGCUUAGAUAUCACGAAGAACUCCGAUCGCGAAGGCAAGUGUCCGGGGUGCAACUGACGCUCAGGCACGAAAGCGUGGGUAUCGAACAGG